CCUACGGGAGGCAGCAGUGAGGAAUAUUGGUCAAUGGACGAGAGUCUGAACCAGCCAAGUAGCGUGAAGGAUGACUGCCCUAUGGGUUGUAAACUUCUUUUAUCAAGGAGUAAAACGCGGCACGUGUGCCUUUUUGCAUGUACUUUAUGAAUAAGGAUCGGCUAACUCCGUGCCAGCAGCCGCGGUAAUCCGGAGGAUCCGAGCGUUAUCCGGAUUUAUUGGGGUUAAAGGGAGCGUAGAUGGGUUGUUAAGUCAGUUGGGAAAGUUUGCGGCUCAACCGUAAAAUUGCAAUUGAUACUGGCAGUCUGGAGUACAGUUGAGGUAGGCGGAAUGCGUGGUGUAGCGGUGAAAUGCUUAGAUAUCACGAAGAACCCCGAUUGCGAAGGCAGCUUACUAAACUGUGACUGACAUUGAGGCUCGAAAGUGUGGGUAUCAAACAGGAUUAGAUACCCGAGUAGUC
rnacentral:rRNA from 1 species